rnacentral:rRNA from 1 species
UUGAACGCUGGCGGCACGCCUUACACAUGCAAGUCGAACGGUAGAGGGGCAACCCUUGAGAGUGGCGAACGGGUGAGUAAUAUAUCGGAACGUGCCCAGUCGUGGGGGAUAACGCAGCGAAAGCUGCGCUAAUACCGCAUACGAUCUAUGGAUGAAAGCGGGGGAUCGCAAGACCUCGCGCGAUUGGAGCGGCCGAUAUCAGAUUAGGUAGUUGGUGGGGUAAAAGCCCACCAAGCCGACGAUCUGUAGCUG